AUUUAUAUAGUUUAAUUCAAAACCUUACAUUUUCACUGUAAAAAUAAAAAAAAAUUUUUAUAAAUU
rnacentral:tRNA from 1 species